AACACAUUAAAUUGCAAAUUUAAAAAAGUUCCUUUAUUGGUUCCGGGGCUU
rnacentral:tRNA from 1 species